rnacentral:rRNA from 1 species
AGUCACUUGAAUUUGGGUUUUUACUUAGAUUUGGGUGGCGGACGGGUGAGUAACGCGUAAAGAACUUGCCUCACAGCUAGGGACAACAUUUAGAAAUGAAUGCUAAUACCUGAUAUUAUGAUUUUAAGGCAUCUUAGAAUUAUGAAAGCUAUAUGCACUGUGAGAGAGCUUUGCGUCCCAUUAGCUAGUUGGAGAGGUAACAGCUCACCAAGGCGAUGAUGGGUAGCCGGCCUGAGAGGGUGAACGGCCACAAGGGGACUGAGACACGGCCCUUACUCCUACGGGAGGCAGCAGUGGGGAAUAUUGGACAAUGGACCGAGAGUCUGAUCCAGCAAUUCUGUGUGCACGAUGAAGUUUUUCGGAAUGUAAAGUGCUUUCAGUUGGGAAGAAAUAAAUGACGGUACCAACAGAAGAAGUGACGGCUAAAUACGUGCCAGCAGCCGCGGUAAUACGUAUGUCACGAGCGUUAUCCGGAUUUAUUGGGCGUAAAGCGCGUCUAGGUGGUUAUGUAAGUCUGAUGUGAAAAUGCAGGGCUCAACUCUGUAUUGCGUUGGAAACUGUAUAACUAGAGUACUGGAGAGGUAAGCGGAACUACAAGUGUAGAGGUGAAAUUCGUAGAUAUUUGUAGGAAUGCCGAUGGGGAAGCCAGCUUACUGGACAGAUACUGACGCUAAAGCGCGAAAGCGUGGGUAGCAAACAGGAUUAGAUACCCUGGUAGUCCACGCUGUAAACGAUGAUUACUAGGUGUUGGGGGUCGAACCUCAGCGCCCAAGCAACGCGAUAAGUAAUCCGC